UUAGAUGGCGCGGGGUGUCGUGAAAACGACUGAGAAAUACCCGUUGAACUUGAUCUGGGUCAUACCAGCGUAAGAACGCCUUUUAAUCUAACU
rnacentral:ncRNA from 2 species